AUUAAUACAAGUGAAACUAGUAACUUUUUGUCAAGAGAAAUGCCGGGAACAAGUUCAGCAGUGGAGAAAAAGGUGGCAAGGGGUGAUUUCAGAGACCCAUACAGAGCUUGUUCAGGCUUCUUGCUGAGCUGUAACAAACGUACUGAAUUUCUAUGCCCUCCACUGUGAAUCUAUAGUCAACUUUAUCCAGUCAUGCUGAAGGACCAAGAGAUUUCAAGAGAGAACACCUCUCAGGACUGUCCUGAUCCUCCAAUGUGAAUAUAUGGUGAACUUCCAGGAUACAUCAACCACAGAGUCACGCUGGAUCACUUAAAAAUUCUAGAGAAGUGUUAAGAUAGCAUUUCUAUUCAUAACUUCUUUUACUUUCACAUGAGCCCCAUGCCCCUAACUCCAGUGAAUGUGGAGAGAGCUGAUUAUUUCAUUGUUAAAUUAUCUCAUGAGACAUUUCUGAAGAAAUUUGAACUGUGAUACAACAUUUUCUUAACACUGUUCUCAAUUUCAGAAUCUAUACUAUGCAUAUACAAGAGGACGCAAAUGUUUGAGCAGUCUAUUUUUAAUUUUGUAAGUGAAGGAGGACAAAGGGAGAUGAGAGUCACACCUGUAGAUGUUAUGCAUACCAAUCCUUUUGAAAUCUUCAUAACUAUAAAACCUGAUUACCAGCCUCCUUGCUUGAUUGGAUUGUUUGUUUUGCUAUCUGCUUAGAUCUCAGACUUGGGCUUGGUGAACGGGUCAAGAGAGGGCUUCACGGUUGGCCCACAUUUACCGUGAGGUACAUCCUCGCACACUGGGCCUCACAUGACCUGGUUACCUCAAGCAAACUGCAAGCUGCUAUUUAAAAGGGCCCAGCUUCCUAGUGCUCAGCAGUCAUGUGAAUCCGCACUAAGAAGCCUGCACUCUGUUCUGUGAAUGGAUUAUUCCUGAAUUUGUUUAAACCCAUGGCAAAACUGGCAGCCCUCGAACUAAUCUUCUCUGUUUACAAACACUAGACAAAGCGGCCCUAUUAACAUGCAUCAUCUGACCUGCGGGGAUAUACAAUCAACUGAAAGCUGUCUGACUGUUUCCAUGAUCUAUAUGUCGAAACUGAUUUGUGUCAACAUGCUGUGGUGCUUCCAAGAGCGCAAGGGAUGAGGGUGAAUUCUUGAUUCCGACAAGAAACAUGCAUCUGAACAUUACAAUGAAGCCAAUUUGGACGAGUUCAUCUGUGAAACUGAAUAGCCUGCAAAGAGGUGCUUUUGUGGAAGGAUGAGAAUGAGGCAAAAAGUUAGCUUCUAUAGCUUGUGAAGAAAGCCCUCAUCCGUCCCAGAUGUUUGCAUUAUCCCCCACGUCAUACACACACAUUUCCACAAUUCUUCUAGCAAUAGAUUGUGUUGUACAAAAUCA